GAUGAACGCUGGCGGCGUGCCUAAUACAUGCAAGUCGAGCGAACAGACGAGGAGCUUGCGCCUAUGACGUUAGCGGCGGACGGGUGAGUAACACGUGGAUAACCUACCUAGAAGACUGGGAUAACUUCGGGAAACCGGAGCUAAUACCGGAUAACAUGUGGAACCGCAUGGUUCAACAGUGAAAGACGGUCUUGCUGUCACUUAUAGAUGGAUCCGAGCCGCAUUAGCUAGUUGGUAAGGUAACGGCUUACCAAGGCAGCGAUGCGUAGCCGACCCGAGAGCGUCAUCGCCUACCCUGGCACUGAGACACGGCCCCCACUCCUUCGGGAGGCCGCAGUAGGGACUCUUCCGCGAGGGGCCAAUGCCUGACCCAGCACAGCCGCCUGAGUCCAGACGGUCCUCGGAUCUUUAAACUCUGUUAGUAGGGAAGAACAAAUAUUUAAUUACCUAGGCCCGUCUUGACGGUACCCAAACAGAAAGCCCCGGCUAACUACGUG
rnacentral:rRNA from 1 species